rnacentral:lncRNA from 10 species
UGGGAAUGAGAGGUAUUUGAUAUUAACAAAAUCAAUGUACUGCGCCAUAUGACCAGGCUAAUAAACAAAUCACUGGUUUAUAUUACUUGAAGAGAACAGUUGACAAAAUUUAACAUAAACACUCUUCGGAAGGGAAACCACACAUGCUCACCACACACGCGCACACACACAUACACACACACACACACCACUUGCAGUUUCUGUGGGGCCCCAGAGAGAGUUUAUCUUUCAUUCCACUGUGCCCCAACCAUGCUGAACAGAAGCAGCUGGCGGUCUGAAUCCCUGCAGAAAUGGUGUCAGAAGGACUGAGCCCCACCCGACAUCAAUGAGAAUGCAUAAGUGCUACAGGCUGGAACUAGGAAACACCCCACUUCCCCCACAUAACUCCUUUGAAAGAGUGGCUGAAGUUUUCAACUCAAGAUGGUCACCCUGCUUAUCACACAGAACCAGAUGCUUCAGCACCUUGGAGAGCUCCACAAGACCCACAGACCCGGGCCCCCCAACCACAAGAAAUAUAAUAAAAUACUGCUUUGAGACUCAAUUUCAGCACUUAGCUACAUAAAUAAAAGUUCCAGGAAGACUAAAUCUUAGAACCAACAGGGAGAUGAGCACUUCCAGAGUUUCAUCAGCUUCCAAAUGAUAUUUAAAUAUGAGAACGUGAGGCCUGGCUGGGCCUGUGGUGAAAUCUCCAUAACAGCAUCCUUGUAAUAAAUGCUGAAAUUCAUGCAACCAUGGCCUGCCCCCUUCACGGAUCGCAAUUCAUAAUUGUUGCUGAUUGUCACAAACCAUAGGGCUCUGAACCAAAAUCCAAUGGAGCCCGUGCAUGUGUGUGCAUGAGUGUGUGCACCUGUGUGUGUGCAUGUAUGAAGGUGUGCACUCGUGUGUGUGUGUAUGCGUGUAUGUGUGCAUACAGGUGUGUUAGCAUAUGUGUUUGCGACUAAUUUUUAGACAUGUGUCUCGGCUCUUUCUCCAGCUGGGAAUUUCAAAUGACUUGUGAGAAAAUCUGUAAGGUUAAACAUGUGGAUUUUGGAAGAUGAGAACAAAGAACGAAUACUGAUACAUUUUGGCUUAUUAUUUUGACAGUUUUGAAUUCCCACAGUAGUCUUACAACCAAAUCUUGUGAAAGUGUUUAUUCCGUUCCGUUGACCAGAAUGAGUAACAAACCUGAGAAAUGCUUUUGUGUCGUACAUUGUGUAGUGCAUUGUUAAGGCCCUCAGGUUAGCAAAAGCUGUCCUCAGCUGUGGAGCUGACUGCAGUGUGUCACUGACAUUAGCAACUGGACUUCAUUUGAUGAGCAGGCUGAACCUCUGGACAUUAAAAAGAGUAUUCACGGCCGGGCGCGGUGGCUCAAACCUGUAAUCCCAGCAUUUUGGGAGGCCGAGG